ACAGCAGCAGCCGCGGGAAUACGGAGGGUGCAAGCGUUAAUCGGAAUUACUGGGCGUAAAGCGCACGCAGGCGGUCUGUCAAGUCAGAUGUGAAAUCCCCGGGCUUAACCUGGGAACUGCAUUUGAAACUGGCAGGCUAGAGUCUUGUAGAGGGGGGUAGAAUUCCAGGUGUAGCGGUGAAAUGCGUAGAGAUCUGGAGGAAUACCGGUGGCGAAGGCGGCCCCCUGGACAAAGACUGACGCUCAGGUGCGAAAGCGUGGGGAGCAAACAGGAUUAGAUACCCCGGUAGUCCCUGUCUCUUAUAC
rnacentral:rRNA from 1 species